UACGGGGGGGGCAAGCGUUGUUCGGAAUUACUGGGCGUAAAGGGUUCGUAGGUGGCCCGCUAAGUCACACGUGAAAUCCCUCAGCUUAACUGGGGAACUGCGUGUGAGACUGGCAGGCUUGAGUGCAGGAGAGGAACGCGGAAUUCCAGGUGUAGCGGUGAAAUGCGUAGAUAUCUGGAGGAACACCGGUGGCGAAGGCGGCAUCCUGGACCGGUAUUGACGCUGAGUGAGCGAAAGCCAGGGGAGCAAACGGG
rnacentral:rRNA from 1 species